rnacentral:rRNA from 1 species
GACGUAGGGCGCGAGCGUUGUCCGGAAUUAUUGGGCGUAAAGAGCUCGUAGGCGGUUUGUUGCGUCGGCUGUGAAAUCCCGAGGCUCAACCUCGGGUCUGCAGUCGAUACGAGCAAACUAGAGUGUUGCAGGGGAGACUGGAAUUCCUGGUGUAGCGGUGAAAUGCGCAGAUAUCAGGAGGAACACCGGUGGCGAAGGCGGGUCUCUGGGCCGAUACUGACGCUGAGGAGCGAAAGUGUGGGGAGCGAACAGG